rnacentral:rRNA from 1 species
UACAGAGGGCUCAAGCGUUGUUCGGAUUCAUUGGGCGUAAAGGGUGCGUAGGCGGCGCGGUAAGUCGGGUGUGAAAUCUCGGAGCUUAACUCCGAAACUGCAUUCGAUACUGCCGUGCUUGAGGACUGGAGAGGAGACUGGAAUUUACGGUGUAGCGGUGAAAUGCGUAGAUAUCGUAAGGAAGACCAGUGGCGAAGGCGGGUCUCUGGACAGUUCCUGACGCUGAGGAACGAAAGCGUGGGGAGCGAACAGG